GAAUAUUGGACAAUGGGGGCAACCCUGAUCCAGCCAUGCCGCGCGUGUGAAGACGGCCUUUUGGUUGUAAAGCACUUUAAGCAGUGAAGAAGACCCCAUGGUUAUAACCCAUGGACGAUGACAUUAGCUCCAAAAUAAGCACCGGCUAACUCUGUGCAUGCAUCCGCGGUAACACAGAGGGUCAAAGCUUUAAUCGGAAUUACUGGGUGUAAAGCGAGCGUAGGUGGCUUGAUAAGUCAGAUGUGACAUCCCCGGGCUUAACCUGGGAACUGCAUCUGAUACUGUUAGGCUAGAAUAGGUGAGAGGAAGGUAGAAUUCCAGGUGUAGCGGUGAAAUGCGUAGAGAUCUGGAGGAAUACCGAUGGCGAAGGCAGCCUUCUGGCAUCAUAUUGACACUGAGGUUCGAAAGCGUGGGUAGCAAAC
rnacentral:rRNA from 1 species